rnacentral:rRNA from 1 species
UACGAAGGGGGCUAGCGUUGCUCGGAAUCACUGGGCGUAAAGCGCACGUAGGCGGCUUUCUAAGUCAGGGGUGAAAUCCUGGAGCUCAACUCCAGAACUGCCUUUGAUACUGGAGAGCUUGGGUCCGGAAGAGGUGAGUGGAACUCCGAGUGUAGAGGUGAAAUUCGUAGAUAUUCGCAAGAACACCAGUGGCGAAGGCGACUCACUGGACAUGUAUUGACGCUGAGGUGCGAAAGCGUGGGGAGCAAACAGG